GCAAUCAGUCAGAGACUUCUCAAAGCCAGAACACUGCACCUCAUUCAUGUGGACCGGCCCGAUUCCUACAGGCUUUCCUGAAACCCAUGCUGACGCUCGGAGCAAAGGCCCGUCCUGGCACACAGCUGAUCACCACAGGCAUACCCUGCUCACAGGGCCCAUCCUUGAUCUGCUAAAACGUCCUCUGGCAGUGUUUGGCUUCUUGUCAAGAAUCUACAGACCAAAGACUGUUUAAUCUCAGUGUGGAAACUGGAUGAAGGCAUCUGUCUCCACUUGCCUCCGUCUUUCACUUCCAGAAAGCCCUCUGUGAUGGGAAUCCGUUUCCU